GGGCUUUUCCUAGGCGGUGAACAACUGACUUAGAACUGGUAUAGACAAGGGGAAUUCCACUAUUUAAUUAAAACAAAGCAUUGUGAUGGUCCCUAUGGAUACUAACGCAAUGUGAUUUCUACCCAAGUCCCCUAGAAGGGUGUGCCAGAGAGGAUGAGAGCCCCAUUGGGCCUGGACCCUACCGCACGAUGAGGCGUUGUCGGUGAGUCAGGGUGUUUGGGAAUGCAGCCCUAAUCAGGUGGUAAAUUCCAUCUAAGGCUAAAUACGGGCGAGAGACCGAUAAAGAACAAGUAACCCAAGGGAAAGAUGAAAUGGACUUUGAAAAGAGAGUUAAAGAGUGCUUUAAAUUUCUAGGAGGGAAGCGGAUGGGGGUUGAGGAUGCGCCCCGGGCGGAUGCGAAAUGACAUCAGUUGGUCCACCGCUCAGAUCAGGGGGCGUGCUAGCCUGAGUUGUUGCUGUGGCACAAGAAUGACCUUAUGGUCACACUGUACCUCCAUCAUGGCUUUCCAUCUGACCCAUCUUGAAACACAAACCAAGGAGUCUAACAUGUGUGCAAGUUGGUGGGUUGGGAAACCCAUGAGGCAAAAGGAAGCUGACUGGCAAGAUCCCCUCUCGAGGGGUGCACUACUGACCGACCUUGAUCUUCUGUGAAGGGUUUGAGUGUGAGCACACCUAUUAGGACCCAAAAGAUGGUGAACUAUUCCUGAGAAGGGCGAAGCCAAAGGAAACUAUGGUGGAGGCAUGCAAUGAUACUGACGUGCAAAUCAUUUGUCUAACCUGGGUAUAGGGGUGAAAGACUAAUCAAACCAUCUAGUAGUUGGUUUCCUUCAAAAUUUCCCUUGGGAUAGCUAGAGCUCAUGUGCGAGUUUUAUUGGGUAAAUCAAAUGACUAGAGGCAUCGAGGGUGUAACACCCUUGACCUAUUCUCAAACUUUAAAUAGCCAACGCAGUGGGGCUGCUCCAUUGAGCGACACCACGGAAUCGCGAGCUCCAAGUGGGCUAUUUUUGGUAAGCAAAACUAGUGAUGCAGGAUGAACUAAAAGCUGAGUUACGGUGCCAUAUUUCACAUUAACCUAGAUCCCAUAAAGGGUGUUGGUUGAUUAAGACAAUAGGAUGGUGGUCAUGGAAGUCAAAAUCCACUAAGGAGUGUGUAACAACUCACCUGCUGAAUCAACUAGCCCUAAAAAUGGAUGGUGCUGAAGCACGCAACCUAUACUCGGUCAUCAGAGCAAGUGCCAGGCUCCGAUGAGUAGGAGGACGCGGGGUUUGUUGUGAAACCUUGGGUGUGAGCCUAGGUGGACCGACCCCCAGUGUAGAUCUUGGUGGUAGUAGAAAAUAUUCAAAUGAGAACUUUGAAGACUAAAGUGGGGAAAGGUUCCAUGUGAACAACACUUGGACAUGGGUUAGUCAAUCCUAAGAGAUGGGGGAGCCCUAUUUCAAGGGUGCACUUUGUGUGAUCAUUGAAAGGGAAUCAGGUUAAUAUUCCUGAAUCGGGACGUGGCGGCAGACAACAAUGUUAGGAAAUCAGGAGACAUCUGUGAGGGCCCCAGGAAGCGAUAUCUUUUCUUUUUAACAGCCUGCCCACCCUGAAAUCAGUUUAACUGGAGAUAGGGUCUAGCGGCUAGAAGAAAACUACAAGUCCCAUGGUGUCUGGUGCACAUUCAAUGGCCCUUGAAAAUCUAGAGGACCGAUUACCAUUCAUGCUCGAUCAUACUCAUAACCGCAUUAGGUCUCCAAGGUGAACAACCUCUGGUCAAUAGAACAAUGUAGGUAAGGGAAGUUGGCAAAAUGGAUCCGUAACUUUGGGAAAAGGAUUGGAUCUAAGGGUUGGGCCUAGGGGUCUGUGCCCUGAAGCCAUGGACUAUUGGCAACCUACCUGAGCUGCUACCAUGGUGAGGGCGGGUUGUCGUGUGUCGAUCAGGCGACAGACGCAGGGCACUCCCUUUGAGGGGCUUUUCCUAGGUGGUGAACAACUAACUUAGAACUGGUAUAGACAAGGGGAAUUCAACUGUUUAAUUAAAACAAACCAUUGUGAUGGUCCCUGUAGAUGCUAACGCAAUGUGAUUUUUGCCCAGUGCUCUGAAUGUCAAAGUGAAGAAAUUCAACCAAGUGUGGGUAAAUGGAAGGAAUAACUAUGACUCUCUUAAGGUAGCCAAAUGCCUUGUCAUCUAAUUAGUGAUGCACAUGAAUAGAUUAACUACAUUAUCACUGUCCCUAUCUACUAUCUAGCAAAACCACAGCCAAGGGAAUGGGCUUGGUGAAAUCAGCAGGGAAAGAAGACCCUAUUGAGCUUGACUCUAGUCCGACUUUGUGAUAUGACUUGAGAGGUGUAGAAUAAGUGGGAACCAUCUCAGCGCAAGUUAAAUACCACUACUUUUAACAUUAUUUUACUUAUUUCGUGAGGUAGAGACAGGGAAAUGCCCCUGUUUUUGGCCUUAAGGUGCAUCUAGGCACAUCGAUCCGGGCGGAAGACAUUGUCUGGUGGGAAGUUUGGCCGGGGCGGCACAUCUGUUAAAAGAUAACGCAGGUGUCCUAAGAUGAGCUCAACGAGAACAAAAAUCUUGUGUGGAACAAAAGGGAAAAAGCUCAUUUAAUUUUGUUUUUAAGUACGAAUAUAAACCAUGAAAGCGUGGCUUAUCGAUCCUUUAGACUUUUGGUAUUUGAAGCUAGAGGUGUCAGAAACGUUACCAUAGGGAUAACAGGCUUAUGGCAGCCAAGUGUUGAUAGCGAUGUUUCUUUUGAUCCUUCGAUGUUGACUCUUCUUAUCAUUGUGAAAUAGAAUUCACCAAGUGUUGGAUUCUUCACCCACCAAUAGGGAACGUGAGCUAGGUUUAGACCAUCAUGAGAUAGGUUAGUUUUACCCUACCGAUGAUCCGCGAUGCGAUAGUAAUUCAAAUUAGCAUGAGAGGAACCGUUGAUUCACCGAUUUGCCCCAAGUGCACACCUUGUGUGCACCUUCACCAGGGUGGGCACCUUGGUGCACACACCUUGGAUGGGUUGCGCACCAAGGCGGGUACCCGGGCGCACACACCUUGGCACCUGCAUUUUCUUCAAUAUUUUUUUUGACUAUUUCUCAAGUGGGAAAUUCUAUAAUCUCAAUUUUUUUUGCCUUUUGUAGAAAUUUUUUAACGCAGUGCAUCAAAGGUGCGCACCUCGAUGCCCACCUUGGUGUGCACCAAAGGUAUGUACCAUGGUGCACUCUAAGGUGCGCAACAUUGGUGUGCACCAAGGAGCGCUCCAAAGUGUGCUCCAAGGUGCAC